CACAUAAACCAUAAAGCCAUUUACUCAACUGGAGGUUCUAACCCUAAUCCCACUGAAUUCAUUUGGAGCAUUUAUUUCCGUGGGACUAUUACCGACAGUAGCUUCUGCUAAGGAAAUUGAUUUCUGUAUCAUAUUUACUGGAGGAACAGCCACUGAAGAGUGAUAUUUGCUGUUGUGCAGCCUGAAACUGGGAAGUCAUGCGGAAAAUCAAGGUUAGAAGUUUUACCUCAUGUUCAAAAAAUGCGUCUUCCAGUGUCUUUUCUCCAGUGCCACUCCCUACACCUUCAAACACAGCCUUGUAUUCCUAAAAGCACAAACAACCACUCCAUGGA